rnacentral:rRNA from 1 species
GAUGAACGCUAGCGGCAGGCUUAAUACAUGCAAGUCAAGGGGGUAGCAAUACAACCGGCGCACGGGUGAGUAACGCGUACACAACAUACCAUAUACUGGGGUAUAGCUUUGGGAAACUGAAGGUAAUCCCCCAUAACAUUGCGAGAGGGCAUCUGAUUGCAAUUAAAGUUUCGGCGGUAUAUGAUUGGUGUGCGUUUGAUUAGCUAGUUGGUAGGGUAACGGCCUACCAAGGCGACGAUCAAUAGCUGGCGUGAGAGUGCGACCAGCCACACUGGAACUGAGACACGGUCCAGACUCCUACGGGAGGCAGCAGUAGGGAAUAUUGGACAAUGGAGGAAACUCUGAUCCAGCCAUGCCGCGUGAUAGAUGAAGGCCCUCUGGGGUUGUAAAAUAUCUUUUAUCUGGGAAGAAACAAUCUUAUUCUUAAGAUCUUGACGGUACCAGAGGAAUAAGCACCGGCUAACUCCGUGCCAGCAGCCGCGGUAAU